UACGGAGGGCGCAAGCGUUAUCCGGAUUCACUGGGUUUAAAGGGUGCGUAGGUGGGUUGGUAAGUCAGUGGUGAAAUCUCCAGGCUUAACUUGGAAACUGCCAUUGAUACUAUCAAUCUUGAAUACCGUGGAGGUCAGCGGAAUAUGUCAUGUAGCGGUGAAAUGCUUAGAUAUGACAUAGAACACCAAUUGCGAAGGCAGCUGGCUACACGAAUAUUGACACUGAUGCACGAAAGCGUGGGGAUCAAACAGG
rnacentral:rRNA from 1 species